rnacentral:lncRNA from 1 species
AACCUACUUUUGAAAAAAUUUUUUUCUCCAAAAUAUUAGGGUACCGGUAAUCUGUGUGUGUGUGUGUGUUUGGUUUAUUGCUUGUUUGCUAGUUUGUGUUGCUUAUUUAGCGUUUUAAUAAUUUAGAGCAAAGAAAUGUUUUAGCAUAUUUUGGCUAUUCCAACCGAAUUUUAACUCAUAUUUUAACAGACAAAGACCUGCAGACUGAUGGAAAACUUCUUCAUGCUGAAGUUAUCAAACAUGACAUCAAUGUCGUAAAAGACUUAGUUAAUCCAGACACAUUUUUAAAACUUCAGAAAAAUGUGCUACAUCUUAAACAAAGUUGGAGUUGUCCGAGUUGUAACAAACCACAAUUUGAAGAUAUGAUUGAGUGUAAAGAUUGUUUGACUUGGUACCACUGGAAAUGUAUUUCUCCGGGUAAAGUUAUUACAGAUAAGUGCUGGAUCUGUAGUGAAUGUGACACCAAAAAGUUUUGUAAGCAAGUUACAGACUCUUAACUAUGAAAACAGAGAUCGCAGUUAACAAACUUCUUUUUACAUAAUAUAUACCGUGGUAUCAGCACGACUAUAUACAUAAUUGUUUAAAACUUCUAGAACAUCUUAUCAAAUGAUAAAUUAAGGGCAUUAAUUGAGUCUAGUUUGAACAA